rnacentral:rRNA from 1 species
GACGAACGCUGGCGGCGUGCCUAAUACAUGCAAGUCGAACGCAGUGGGGCCGGGUGCGUAACACGUGGGUAACGUCACAUCAGAGGGGAUAACACUUGGAAACAGGUGCUAAACCGAUACUGAUGGAUGGACCCGCGGUGCAUUAGCUAGUUGGUGAGGUAACGGCUCACCAAGGCCCCGAUGCCUAGCCGACCUGAGAGGGUGAUAGUCCACCCGGGGACUGAGACACGGCCCAGACUCCUACGGGAGGCAGCAGUAGGGAAUCUUCGGCAAUGGACGAAAGUCUGACCGAGCAACGCCGCGGGAGUGAAGAAGGUUGUCGGAUCGUAAAACUCUGUUGUUAGAGAAGCGGUAUCUAACCAGAAAGCCACGGCUAACUACGUGCCAGCAGCCGCGGUAAUAC